AUUGAACGCUGGCGGCAGGCCUAACACAUGCAAGUCGAACGGUAACAGGAAGCAGCUUGCUUCUUUGCUGACGCGUGUCGGACGGGUGUGUAAUGUCCGUGAAACUGCCUGAUUUAGUGGGAUAACUCCUGGAAACGGUAGCUAUUACCGCAUAUCGUCGCUAGACCAAAGAGGGGGACCUUCUGGCCUCUUGCCCUCUGAUGUGCCCAGAUGGGAUUAGCUAGUAGGUGGGGUAACGGCUCACCUAGGCGACGAUCCCUAGCUGGUCUGAGAGGAUGACCAGCCACACUGGAACUGAGACACGGUCCAGACUCCUACGGGAGGCAGCAGUGGGGAAUAUUGCACAAUGGGCGCAAGCCUGAUGCAGCCAUGCCGCGUGUAUGAAGAAGGCCUUCGGGUUGUAAAGUACUUUUAGCGGGGAGGAAGGGAGUAAAGUUAAUACCUUGGCGCAUUGACGUUACCCGAAGAAGAAGCACCGGCUAACUCCGUG
rnacentral:rRNA from 1 species